AUGUCCGCCGCCUGCCGCGCCUGGGCCUUUUUCCUGCCCCGCCGCCGCUCGUGUUUUCCCGCCGAGGUUCCGCUGCUGCAUGUAGCCCUGUGUCUACUGUGCUGGGCCCCGGCGGCUGUGGACGCCGUCCCCGAGCUCGGGCUCUGGGCAAAGACGGUCAACGAUAAAUCAGGACCAUUGAUAUUUAGGAAAACUAUGUUUAACUCUACUGAAAUCAAGUUUUCUGUUAAAUCAUUCAGUUGUUCCGGGCCUGUGAAGUUUACCAUAGAAUGGUAUUUGAAGUAUCAUACCUGUCACAAUGAAUAUUCUGAGCUGGAAGAGCUGUCACAAAAACAUGAACUCAGUGUUGAUGAAGACUUUUGUGGUCAUUAUUUCAAGAAUAUUGAUUGUUGGACAACAAAAAAUGAAAACUUAGAUUGCAACAGUGAUUUACAGGUGUUUCCCUCAUUGACUAAUAAAGAACUAAUACCAAAUAUCAGAAAUGUUUCAAACCAAGAAGGAUCAAUGGAUGUCGUUGCCAGAACACAGAGAGAUGGGUUUCAUAUCUUUAUUGUUUCUAUUAAAACGGAAAAAACAGAUUCAAGCUGGAAUUUGAAUGUUUCUCUUUCUAUGAAGGGGCCUCAUGGAUAUAUCUCUGCAUCAGAUUGGCCUCUAAUGAUUUUUUACAUGGUGAUGUGUAUUAUUUAUAUUUUAUAUGGCGUACUGUGGCUGAUGUGGUCUGCCUGUUAUUGGAAAGAUAUAUUAAGAAUCCAGUUCUGGAUUGCAGCUGUUAUUUUCCUGGGAAUGCUUGAAAAAGCAGUUUUUUAUUCUGAAUACCAAAACAUCAACAGCACUGGACUGUCAACCCAAGGUUUAUUAAUAUUUGCGGAGUUGAUAUCUGCGGUUAAGAGGACAUUGGCUCGUCUCCUUGUCAUCAUUGUGAGCUUGGGUUAUGGCAUUGUGAAGCCUCGUUUAGGAACAGUCAUGUACCGGGUGAUUGGACUGGGGGUUCUUUACUUUAUCUUUGCAACUAUUGAAGGCGUGAUGAGAGUCAUUGGGGGUUCUAACCAUUUAGCUGUUGUUUUGGGUGACAUUAUUUUAGCAGUUAUUGACUCCAUUUUUGUAUGGUUCAUUUUCAUAAGUUUGGCACAAACUGUAAAGACCCUACGGUUAAGAAAGAACACAGUGAAAUUUUCUUUAUACAGGCAUUUUACAAAUACUCUGAUCUUUGCUGUACUGGCUUCUGUAGUGUUUAUGGUAUGGACAACUAAGACAUUUAGAAUUGCAAAAUGCCAAUCAGAUUGGAUGGAACGCUGGGUUGAUGAUGCAUUUUGGAGCUUCCUUUUUUCACUUAUCCUUGUUGUAAUAAUGUUUUUGUGGAGACCAUCAGCAAAUAAUCAGAGAUAUGCCUUCAUGCCCUUAAUAGAUGAUUCUGAUGAUGAAAUUGAAGAAUUCAUGGUAACAUCUGAAAAUUUAACUGAAGGAAUAAAAUUCAGAGUCUCUAAAACGAUUUCCAAUGGAGCAGCGAAACCUGCCACUUCUGAUAAUUUUGUGUUAUUAAGCAAAUGGCUAAUAUGUAAAUGUUUCUUCAGGAUGAAGAUUUGAAGUGGGUGGAAGAAAAUAUUCCCUCUUCAUUCACGGAUGUAGCUCUUCCAGUGUUAGUGGAUUCAGAUGAGGAAAUCAUGACCAGAUCUGAAAUGGCAGAAAAAAUGUUCUCUUCAGAAAAGAUAAUGUGAUCGGAACCCAUAUAAGUUGAAGGACCAUCUUUCCUCAAGACUAAAGAGCUUUGUUUUCAUAUAGCUUAACAAGUUUUUGUUGUAUGAUCUAGAAAUCCAUGUAUUAAAAUCAAUUCGGGUGGUAGGAGGGUUCUGUAACCCUUUUUAAGCUGACUCAGUUUAAUGUCCAUUAAAUUGCCUAGAUUUGGAAAUAAUCUGAGAAAAGUAUUAUGAUAAAGUUCUAAGCAUAAAUGCCCUUAGCUGAUGGUAACAGGCUUGUGGUUUUAGAAUCUUUCUCUUUUCUGUGGAAAAUAUGACAAUAGCAGAUUUUUUUUUAAUAAACACUUUUACUAUUCUUCCUCUAAUAUUUGAGGUAAUGUGAUUCUUCUAAGGUAUGGUAUAACAGUGUUUCCAUCUCCUAGAGUUAUACUACUGGAUGCAGUAAUAAUUUUCUUUGACUUUUAUACUGAUUUGAUAUUAAGUAAAGCUUGGUUAGUGUGGGAACAUACAAGCAUGUUUAUGUGUUCAGUUUUGCUUGUUUUCUGCAUAAAGCCCUUGUUUGCAAAUAUUGCCAUGCAUAGCAAAUCAUGGAGUUAGGUCUUCUCUGUCUGAGCUCAGGGAAACACAAGGGUACCAUCUUCCCAGCAUGGAGAGAGAAGUCCUGAGGGUCAGUUCCAAAGAUCUGCUCUGUCCUUGCCGCCGCCCCCACCCCACCCUGGGCUGUGUGGGUAUGUGCUGCCACUCAGUCUCCCUGGGGAAGGUGGGGAACACCUGGCCGCAUGGCUCCCCCAGAGCACUCCCCCCUGGCGAAACACAAGACUCAUUACCAGGGAAUCUUGAGGAAAAUAGAACCUUAUCUUUUACAUAAUCUUGAUAUAGCGUUUUCAUUUAAAGAAAAACGUGUGUGCGUGUGUAUAUUUGUGUGUAUAUGUAUAUUUAAAUGCACACUACAUCACUGUUAAUCUUGUAAUUUCUUAACCUUCAACCAUGUGUUACACUUUAUUUUGUUUAUAUGCGAUUGAAAAUUUUUGUUUUAAUAUAUUUUUAAAAAUGCAAAGUAUUCUAAACUUGAAAGAGAAUUGAAUGUAGUAUGAUGAAAAUGUGAAUGUUUUGCUGCUUUCAUGACCAAAGAUACAGGUUAAUGGAUGUUUAGAAUAGGAAUUAAAGUUAGUAUCUAGUAUAUCUUUAUUUGAAGGAGUUCUAAGCUGGUGAAUUGAGAAGUUACUUCAGGGAAUUUUGAUUGAGAAAGCAUUAAAAUCUUAACUAGUACCAACACUGAAAGACAACCUUUGAUUUUUUUUCACUGUGAAGCCACGAAACAUCUGCUUUUUCUUUCAAAAACCUACCGUUGAAUGUAUUUCUCAUUCACUCAUUUCACAGAGGUUAAUAAAGACUAUUUGUUUCUAGUAGUAAUGUCUCUUGAAAGAUAUUUUUAGUAGUGAAUGUUUGGAAGGUGAACAGUGUUGGCAGACAUUACUGAAAAAGGCAUGGUUUUCAAGUUCAUUGCUUUGGGACAUCUUUUCUAGGAAAAGAAUGUCUUAACGGUUGUGGAUUCCAUUCCUUAUUUCAGUUUCUGCCAUAAUAACGUGUUCCCACCCAGCUAGUGUUCCAGCGUUUAUGUCCAUUGUGGUUUUGGUGUAUUCCACUUUAGCACAGUUCCUUUAGAGCUGGAGGUGACCACUGCCUUCUCAUUCCUACCAUUUUUAUCUAAUACCCCCCACCCAAGCUUUGGGGCAGAUUUUGACCCCCUCCAACUCAUCACUUGGCUGUAGUUGAAAUUUGUGAUGCAGGAUCCUGGUCUUCCAGCCAGUGUUGUUGUGUGCAGUUCAGUUGAUUCCAACUCACAGCGACCCUGAAUGACAGGGUAGAACUGCCUCAUACGGUUUCCUGGGCUGUAAUCUCUACGGGAGCAGAUUAUCAGGUCUUUUCUCCCACGGAGCUGCAGGUGGGUUCAAACUGCAGACCUUUCAGUUAGCAGCCGAGCGCUUAACCAUUGCGCCACGAGGGCUCCAGCCAGUAGAGCCACACAUUUAGUGAGGUGUGGGUGGAGAGUUGAUGAUGUGUGAUAAUAAGGGAAAACUGUCUCUUAUACAGAAGAAGAAAACACUUCUGCAGACAGAAAGAUAAAUGAUGCUAUCUGUUUAACUCAGCUACAGGCUUAAAUGCAAAGUUUUCUCUUCAGAGAAAGCAGGAUUUCUUUCUAAUAGCCACGUCAGAAAUUUUUUAAUUUUCUAAGGCAUGAGCUCUGUCACUUCCAUUGAUAAUUACAUUAUCCAUUGAUGUUCUAUGACCAAUACUACAGAGGGCCUUGUUGUUAGUUGCCUUCGAGUAGAUUCCAAUUCAUAGUGACCCCACAUGUGCCGAGUAGAACUCCAUAGGGUCUCCAAGGCUAUGAUGUUUCGGAAGCAAAUGGCCAGGCCUGUCUUCCGAGGCACCUCUGGGUGAGUUCAGACCACCAACCUUUCAGCUAGUGGUUGAGCACUUAACCACACGCACCACCCAGGGCCUCCUAGGUUGUUCUUAGCCUCUCAUAUGAAUUAGGAUCGGGGUGGGGCGUGCCCUAGGGCCACAGCUGUGCUUCACAGAAAGGAGACGGGACACGGGGGACACGUUACACCCAGGGCCCCUGCACGGGUCAUCUUGCCUAGUCCCCAAGGCCUGUGGGGCCCCAGAUUGGUUGAUUCUUAGGAUGCCGUCAGGAUGAAUCUUAGUAAUGAAGGCAUCUGAGGAAAAGUCCGGUUAUAUGUGUUUAUAGGUAAAGUAUUUACGUGUUAUUAAUGUUAGAUUUAUUUGAUGUGUGAAAUUGCUUAAAAGGAAGUUUUCAUGAUUUUACUUAGAUAGUAUUUAAAUAUCUGCUUUAAAGGAUGAUUUAUUUAUUCAAAAAUAAGGAAAAAUAGGAGAAUAUGUGAAUUUUUUAAGCCUGAGAGAUGACAGGAUGUGCCCAUACUUUUCCUGUAAAGAAAAUAAUUUUUUAAAUCUUUCAUAUCCUCUAGAAAACACUGACUUUCCCCCGUGAUAACAUUGUUUGCACUACUGUAAUGUCAAGACUGAAAGUAUGACAAAAUGUACCUGUAAGGUUAAUUUUUAUAUUUUUCUUAAAGAAUUUGAGUCUUAGAGUAUAUGCACUAGGCUAUACAUGACUCUUUUAUAGCUGAGAGAUGUUAUGCUAGAUUUUUAAGUUAUUAGUUCUGGUACUUGUGUCUUUGUAUGAUCAGCAGCAUGCCACAAGCAAUAAAAAAUACCAAGCCUUAUACAAAAGAAGUUUAACGUAUUGGGUAAAGUUCUAAACAUAUCAAAUGUACAUAAGUGAUAAAACUAGAUUUCUAAGGAAGUGUACAUUAUAAUACAGGAGCUCAAAAUUACAUUAAGAAAUUUGUCUAGGACUAGAAAAAUGUUCAUUAAUUUGGGGAGAAAGUUUAGGGGUUUAAGAAGUAUUUUUUCUAUUUAAAAGGGUUAAAUUAUAUAAUUUGAAAGAAUUUGGUUUAAAUGUAAGACAACUAUUUGAAGGACUUUUGUUUGAAAAGUAGAUGUAUUUUUUGUGCCUUAAUUGUUCUGACUUUUAAUAAAAUGCUUUCUGAAAUUUUGAAUGAUCGAGUCUUGAUAAUUAAUACUAGAUUGUUAAUCUACAGGAAGUGUAGACUCCAGUAGAUAGCAGAAGGACGUAAACAAAAUUCUUAAAAGAGGAGGUACAACUAAUAACAAAUGUGGAAAAGUGUUCAACCUCAGUGUUGAUCAGAGAAAUGCAAAUAAAAGGGGAAAUUUUUAAAAAUAAAAUUAACAUGUAUUUAUAUAUUCUAUUGUAUGUGUAUAAAAUCCCUUUGCUUCCAAAGUCUGAUGAAAUGAGCACACAUAAAUUA